UUGCGAGUGAACGGAGAUUAGCCCAUCACCGAAGUCUAUUCGCUCUUGUGAACAAGACAAUGUGGUGUUGAAGCUUGUACCUGGGAGCGCUUGCCUACUCGAAGUCCGACUCCGAUUACGGCUAGGACUAUGCCCACAGCGGGUGAAAGGCCCGUACGGGUAGGCUGUGUUGUUAUUAAGUGCUCCCCAGAUGUGCAUGCUUUCGAGUCGGAUUGCUUGAGAAUGCAGUCCAAAGUGGGUGGUAAACUCCAUCCAAGGCUAAAUACUGGCACGAGUCCGAUAGUAGACAAGUACCGUGAGGGAAAGUUGAAAAGUACUCUGAAGAGAGAGUAAAUAGUACGUGAAGCCGCUUGCAGGGAAGCUGGUGGAGUCAAGCUUCGUGCUUGCGAAUUUGUUGUCAGGAGAUGAUGUGUUGGAACGUGAUACUGGGUAGCCUGGAAAUGGUUUGCCGCAUCCGUGCGGUCCAAGUCAUACCGGGCAGUGUGUUUGGAACUGGUAUCUAUUCUUCCGCUUCCCUGAUACUGAAUUUCGCAUGGUCAUACAUCACGGUCAAUAAUGGA
rnacentral:rRNA from 1 species